GACGAACGCUGGCGGCGUGCUUAACACAUGCAAGUCGAACGAAGUGGCGAACGGGUGAGUAAUACGUGGGUAACCUGCCCUCCUUUUUGGGAUAAGCCUUGGAAACGGGGUCUAAUACCGAAUACGGGGGAUGGGCUCGCGGCCUAUCAGCUUGUUGGGGGGGUGAUGGCCUACCAAGGCGGUGACGGGUCGCCGGCCUGAGAGGGGGACCGGCAAAAAUGGGACUGAGAUACGGCCCAGACGCCUAAGGGAGGCAGCAGUGGGGAAUCGUCCGAAAGGGAGGAAAGUCGGACGGAGCAAAGCCGCGUGAGUGAUGACGGCCUUCGGGUUGUAAAGCUCUGUUAAGCGGGACGCGGUACCGGAAUAGAAAGCCACGGCUAACUACGUGCCAGCAGCCGCGGUAAUAC
rnacentral:rRNA from 1 species